rnacentral:rRNA from 1 species
GACGAACGCUGGCGGCGUGCUUAACACAUGCAAGUCGAACGAAGAGCGACGGAAGCUUGCUUCUAUCAAUCUUAGUGGCGAACGGGUGAGUAACGCGUAAUCAACCUGCCCUUCAGAGGGGGACAACAGUUGGAAACGACUGCUAAUACCGCAUACGAUCUAAUCUCGGCAUCGAGGAUGGAUGAAAGGUGGCCUCUACAUGUAAGCUAUCACUGAAGGAGGGGAUUGCGUCUGAUUAGCUAGUUGGAGGGGUAACGGCCCACCAAGGCGAUGGUCAGUAGCCGGUCGGAGAGGAUGAACGGCCACAUUGGGACUGAGACACGGCCCAGACUCCUACGGGAGGCAGCAGUGGGGAAUCUUCCGCAAUGGACGAAAGUCUGACGGAGCAACGCCGCGUGAGUGAUGACGGCCUUCGGGUUGUAAAGCUCUGUUAAUCGGGACGAAAGGCCUUCUUGCGAAUAGUGAGAAGGAUUGACGGUACCGGAAUAGAAAGCCACGGCUAACUACGUG